GCUGAACCCAGAACUAUGUCCCGAGUCUCUCAUUCUGGUCAGGCCCCACGGUGAUACUGGAACCUCCACAGUGAGCCAGGACUGUUGGGCUCAUGAAUCUUGCUUUCUUAAUGAUCAGUGGCAGAGCUUCAACAUGAGGGGACAUCCUAGUUCCUUGCAAGCAAAAUUAUGGUGUUUUUUCCCUACUUCAGUGAAUCUUGCAUUCUUUUCUGCACAACUUCGGCAGAAGAGUAAGAAGACCCUGAACACAUAGUGUUGUGAGGACUAUAAGCUGCUGGUGAUGAAGCUCUUCUGGGGAAAACAAUUGAAUCUACUCUGUGCAUAUAUGCCAAUAUUUGAACAGGUUGGCAACUCUGUGAGAAGAAGGUCAACCCCCUCAAAUUUAGACAUGGUCUUAAACAAAGCACAAGUGUAAAGCAACAAAUUGAGAAGCCCUCUGCCCUCAAGAAGUGUUUUCGAAGUUCUCAAAGUGCUUAGCAGCUGAACAUUGACUUUUCAAAGUCUGGCAAGAAAUGAAAGUCUGCAAUUUUGGGGUUGUAUAUAUAUACUAGAAAGCUAGGCAAUACUAGCAACUUUUCUCAAGUUCUGCCUGAGUGGCUGAUUGGGCACUUGGAACAUUUUUCCACCUCAGAUGCCACAGUACAUAUUUGGAAUGGUUGCUAGACUGCACUACCCAAGAAACUAUGCCCAAAGAAAAGUCUAACAAACUGUCUGAAGUCAAAACUAUGCAAUAAAACAUACUGGCAAUCAAAUAUCGUAGAUAACAAGGCACAAGUGUUAGAGCUCAUGUUGUGAUCCUGAUAAAUUUACUAAUGCAGUUCUGGCAACCAGUUAAAUGUGAGAGUAAUUUUAAAAGUCUUCUAGUAGUUUUGUCUUCUGUGAUAGCUCUCUAUAAAGCAUUUUCUGUGAUUUUUUUCAGUCCCUGUUGAACUCAUAUUUCAACUAUUUAAGAACAGGAACACUUACAGGCUUUUCUUUUCUACUUGGUUACCCUUUACCAUGAAGCUUGAGGAACUCAGCAUAUCUGAGAUUACUGACCUUUUUGUCAAAUACAGUUGAAAUUACUUUCCUUCAGAAGCAUUUAAGGAUAACAAACAAUCUGACAUAACACACUCACACACAAACUUAAUGCAAUCCUAUUUGAACAGGAAAUAACACUAACAUUAAAUUUUAAAAUGUACCAAAAUUGAGACCGUUUUCUUAAGGAGUAGCUCCAUCUUUUUAGAUCUUUAUAUCAAACUGCAUGCUGACUGACUCUGUCUGACACCUGGCGAUUACUUUCUUGAUGUCUGACGCUUAACUUCUAGCUCUUGCUGCCUUUCACUUGAGUUGAAGUUUGAUCUCCUGGCACCUGAAAAUCCAGACUCCCAGAAUGUUGAUAAAGAACAUUAUUUUUAGAGGUAGGAAAGAGUGAAAGUGAAGAUACUUGGAAUUCUUUUGACAAUAAAUAACACUAGGAAAUGAAAAGUUAAUGGUUUCCCCAGCAAAUGAAUUAAAUUUUUUCCUGGUGAUUAGAAAAAUAGAUCCUAAAGGUCUGUUAUUUCAGCGUCACAGACUGAAAGUCUAAGGUAAUAACACAAUGUCUCUAAUAGAAUAAAAACCCAAGUAAUAUAAAAAUUAAAAUGGGAGAGGACUUGAAAUGGAAAGCAGAACUUAAGGCUUUAUCCUCAUAGUCAACACAGUAGUGAUAAAAAUGGUGCAACAGGAAAAAAAAGAUCUUAAUCACAUGAGGUAGAUUCUAGCUAUUUUUGCAGUGAUUUGACAUAAUGACAAACAAUUCAGAAUGACAAAUAAUACCUGGAGGAAAGAAAGACCUCAUUUAAUGCUGAUUUUCCCUGGUGAGGCUUAUUUUUUUAACUGUAAAAUUACAUAAACACAGAAUUAUGCUCCUAACCUUGCCAAGGCGUUCUUCUGCCUUAUGGAGUGUUGUGAUACAUAAACCUAAAUCCAGUUGAGACUGAGAAAUUAUUCUUUGUUUGGCUCUGUUCCCUGAGGCAGCUGUUAGAGUUGGCACUCUCAAACAUGCCUGACAGACACACUCUGAAAAUGUAUAGCAAUCUCUAAAUUUAUGCAGAUGUCCAGAUGCUAGAAUGCUGAUUGAGACAUGCAUGAUGAAGGUUUAGUUGCGUGAUCCUUCCUGAAAGUAGGAAGUUUAAAUCUUAAUUUCCCACUUCCAUUCAAAAGACAUUAACCUUGAGGAUAUAUAAUUCUGCUGCAAAAGAUCACUGACUAGCUCUGUUACUGAAAUCAUAUUUCAAUUCAGAGGAUUUAUUUGGUGAGAAAAUGAACACAAAACAGUGUACUUCAUUAAUCUGAUAGAUUAUCAUGAUUAGAGUAUUACUAGAAAUAUGUCUUUUGUGUAAUAUAAUAGUAUUUAAUAUAAUAGUAUUUAAAGUGGGUGAUGGAGUUCAGAUCACCUUCAUAUGCUUUAUUCGUAAUAAUGCUCUUCCUUUCUGCUUUAAUGGCUGGUUUGCAAAAAAGAGCACAUCAUCAGGAAGCUGGAUAAUAUGGUGCAAUUUAAAAUACAGAUUUGUGUCCCUCCCAGCAAAAGGUCUUCGAAGGCA